rnacentral:lncRNA from 1 species
GUAGGUACUAGAAUCCACACAGACUACAUAUAGGCCCGAAGAUGGCUCGAUCAACCCAUAUGCACCUAUGGAUAGAUUCUCAAUCAAUUAUUUUUUUAAAUUAACUUCUAGUAUUUAAUUUAGUCUCAGAUUUUAUUUUAGUAGGCGAUGGGCCUCCACUGAAACUUUCAGUUAGGUCAAACCAUUAACAUGAACCUACUCAGUGAUUCUACCUAAUAAGUGAUCAGGUCUGAGGAUGGCUUGAUCAACCCAACCAUCAUCAGAUAGUUCAACAGUUAUCAUAUGAUGAAUGAUAAUUCCAUCAUUUAGAAAGAACACC